UGGAUCCAGACUUUGAUUCUGGCUCAGGAUGAACGCUAGCUACAGGCCUAACACAUGCAAGUCGAGGGGCAGCAUGGCGGUUGCUUGCAACCGCUGAUGGCGACCGGCGCACGGGUGCGUAACGCGUAUCGAACCUGCCCCUUACCCGGGGAUAGUCUUGCGAAAGCAAGUUUAAUAUCCGAUAGUAUCAUAUUGGCGCAUGCCUUUAUGAUUAAAGAUUCAUCGGUAAGGGAUGGCGAUGCGUCCGAUUAGGUAGCAGGCGGGGUAACGGCCCACCUGGCCUACGAUCGGUAGGGGUUCUGAGAGGAAGGUCCCCCACACUGGAACUGAGACACGGUCCAGACUCCUACGGGAGGCAGCAGUGAGGAAUAUUGGUCAAUGGUCGCUAGACUGAACCAGCCAAGUAGCGUGCGGGACGAAGGCCCUCCGGGUCGUAAACCGCUUUUAGACGGGGAUAAAAGGGCGUACGUGUACGCCGUAUUGCAUGUACCGUCAGAAAAAGGACCGGCUAAUUCCGUGCCAGCAGCCGCGGUAAUACGGAAGGUCCGGGCGUUAUCCGGAUUUAUUGGGUUUAAAGGGAGCGUAGGCGGACUUUCAAGUCAGUGGUAAAAUCGUGUGGCUCAACCAUACCUCGCCAUUGAAACUGGAAGUCUGGAGUGCACACAGGGGUGCCGGAAUUCAUGGUGUAGCGGUGAAAUGCUUAGAUAUCAUGAAGAACUCCGAUCGCGAAGGCAAGUGCCCGGGGUGCAACUGACGCUGAGGCUCGAAGGUGCGGGUAUCGAACAGGAUUAGAUACCCUGGUAGUCCGCACGGUAAACGAUGGAUACUCGCGGUGCGCCUUUAUGGUGCGUCGCUUAGCGAAAGCGUUAAGUAUCCCACCUGGGGAGUACGCCGGCAACGGUGCAACUCAAAUG
rnacentral:rRNA from 1 species